rnacentral:rRNA from 1 species
UACGGGGGGGGCAAGCGUUGUUCGGAAUUACUGGGCGUAAAGGGCGCGUAGGCGGUCAGACCAAGUCGAGUGUGAAAUUCCAGGGCUUAACUCUGGCACGCUCGCUCGAUACUGGUCGGCUAGAGUGUGGAAGAGGAUGCUGGAAUUCCCGGUGUAGCGGUGAAAUGCGCAGAUAUCAGGAGGAACACCGAUGGCGAAGGCAGGUCUCUGGGCAUUAACUGACGCUGAGGAGCGAAAGCGUGGGGAGCGAACAGG